rnacentral:rRNA from 1 species
UUAAAUUGUAGUUUAUUAUUAGAGUAGUAUUAGUUAUGGUCUUGAAACUUAAAAAAUUUGGCGGUAUUUUAAUCUUUUCAGAGGAACUUGUUUAUUAAUUGAUAUUCCUCAUUAAAUCUUACUUAAUUUUAUUUAAUUUGUAUAUCGUUGUCAUAAGAAAAUUUUUAAAAAAUAUAAAUUUUCUUAAUUAAUUAUUAUUAAAUAUGUCAGAUCAAGGUGCAGUUUAUAAUUAAGUUAAAAUGAGUUACAAUUAAUAUAAAUUAAUUAUGGAUUGAAAAUUGAAAAAUUUUUAGGAAAGAGGAUUUGAAAGUAAAUUUUAAUAAGAGAGUAAAAUUGAUUUAAGUUUUAAAAUAUGU